GACGAACGCUGGCGGCGUGCUUAACACAUGCAAGUCGAACGAUGAACCCGGAUCUUGCUCCGGCGGAUUAGUGGCGAACGGGUGAGUAACACGUGAGUAACCUGCCCUUGACUCUGGGAUAACUGCGGGAAACUGUAGCUAAUACCGGAUACGACCCUCGGCGGCAUCGCCAGGGGGUGGAAAGAAUUUCGGUCAAGGAUGGACGUCGCGGCCUAUCAGCUAGUUGGUGAGGUAACGGCUCACCAAGGCGACGACGGGUAGCCGGCCUGAGAGGGUGACCGGCCACACGGGGACUGAGACACGGCCCAGACUCCUACGGGAGGCAGCAGUGGGGAAUAUUGCACAAUGGGCGCAAGCCUGAUGCAGCAACGCCGCGUGAGGGAUGACGGCCUUCGGGUUGUAAACCUCUUUUAGUAGGGAAGAAGCGAAAGUGACGGUACCUGCAGAAAAAGCACCGGCUAACUACGUGCCAGCAGCCGCCGUAA
rnacentral:rRNA from 1 species